GUGGUCGGCAAUGACGAGGAAGUGAGAUUCUUCGUGCAAACGUGCGUGUCAAAACAAUCUACGUACUUUGCAUGGACCAUAUACAUCUUUGAAGGAAUGAUGCUUUCGUUUGGUGCUUUUCUUGCAUGGGAAACACGUCAUGUAACCAUUGAAGCUCUGAACGACUCCCACCAAAUUGGCCUUUGUCUCUACAACGUUGUCAUCCUAAGUGCCGUCGCGCUCACCCUUUCAUUGGUCCUUGAAGACCAGGUGGUUCUGCUCUAUGGAAUAACAUCCGGGUUUCUGAUUUUCGGCACGACACUUACGCAGCUCUUUGUGUUUGUUCCUAAGGUGCAUGCGGUGUUCACGAAGGUGGAUUGUACUCUCAAAGGAAUGACUGCAACUGCAAACACAGGUCAAGGACAACCCUAGGUAAUGCGUCAACCUCCCUUGCUUCUGAAAGAGCGCCUAAAUAUGUAAAUAAUCAGUGUUUCGAGUAAGAAUGCGCGAAAUUACAAACCUUAGUACAACGGCGUCGUUUGCAUUAAUAAAGAUGGCGAUCUUUUUUAGUGACUCUUGAAAUUGCGCAGUGUAUUAAUACACGUAAACAAGCAUCUGUUUUUAUUUCUAUCUAUGCUAUGUGAAAGCAUCAUGCUAGAAAGGGAAACAUCAAUGCGAUUUGACCAGUACCUGUAUUUUUUAAGUUCGAGUUUGAAUUCACCAAAUUUCAAUAUUUAACUAAUGUAUGGUAAUGUAUAUGAGUACAUUUCGUUUGCACUAAUUCUCGAAUAAAUAUCAGUAAUGAUUUUGUCAUUAACAAUACACUUCAUCAACGGUGCGGUGCUUUUUCGUUUUGGCUUCUUGUAUUGCUUUAUAGAUGCAUAAGCUUAGUUAAUUGGUACAGUGUAAUAGCAAUCAUUUGUCUGUUUAAAAAGGUCUUAACUUGUUUUAUCGUUUGUUAUGUAGGUGGAUGGGCUUAUAAGAUGCAUGGUAGACGUUAGUUGUUUUUUAUUGUAUUGUUAUUUUUAGCAAUUUUAACUUUUGGUAAAGACUAAAAAAUAUACAGACAAAGAAUACACAAUGUUUUCAGUGGUACAUAGUAAUCAAUUGAUAUUGUGUUACCCAAACAGUGUUUCUUUAUGUAUUCGUUUAAAGAAAUUAAAACAUAAUUGUUUACUUACUUAAAGUUUAACAUAAAGCCAUAGCGACAUAAUAAACGAUAGAUAGAUCCGUGUUUCGAAACACGAUAAAAGUAAGAUCAUUGUUUCGUUGACAUGCAUAAUACCACGGCUUAUAUAAUUUUAGUGUAUUGUUAGGAUAGUUAAUGAAACCCAUCUGUAGUUUUCUAUAAAUACAAAAGAUAAAGUCAACAUGUCAACAUGUCUUUACAAGCCGCUGAAACAUUUAUAUUUAUGAUUAUAAUUAGACACAUUAAAAACGAAAUAUAAAGAUGUAUAUAUUUUUUCGAUCUGGAGUUGAAACGACUUGCGCAUAAGUUUAACUGAGUCUUUUAAAUCUAGGUUCAAUCCAUUUAACUAUGCAAUUGUUGAACGCACACGAAAAGCAUAUAUGUCUAACAAAGGCAAUAAAACAAAAGGCCUUUGCUAGGCCUUUGCAAGUAACAUGCAUGCAUACAUUCGCAUACAUUUGAAAAACGACUUUUGUUUCUUGCAGAAUGAUAUUAUAUUAUGCGAGUUGUUUUGUAUUCUUAUUACGAUGACCUAUUUUGUGUUGAAUCAUUUGUAAUGAAGGAUGUGUUUACAUGCUCAUGAAUUUGGAGGACAUUUAAAAUAGAAUUCAGUAUGUGGGAAGUAAUCUUACUCAUACACAAAUCUGUUUGCAAUUGGUAGAUACACAUUGAUUAUUUUUAGAUGGCUAUAUGUGAAAAGGUCUUGUGCACAUGCAUUUUUCUAUUUAGGCGAAUAGAUCUUGUUAUGGAACUUAUAUAAGACAGUUUGAAUUGCUUGGCAUUCCAUCAAUACAAUACAAGUGUUGUGGUGUGAUGGUGUUUAUAUUUUGCGAUACAUGAUUUGUAUGUAAAUAAUAAAAAAAAAUACUUCAAAACUGUUGAAACUGAUUACAAACAUGUUGAUUACAUUUCUUUUAUUUAAUGUAGUAUUUGUUGGUGUAAUAUUUAGCAAAUGUGCUCUUGAAAUUGACCACAAUAUGUCAAACAAUUGUCGUGGCAGUAAGUAAGUUUAUUAUUAUAUUUGAUUAUUGUUUAAACUUAUGUUAUACAUAAUCUACACGUAACGAAGCGGUAAAAUAUUUGGACUGUUAGUACUUGACUAUAAAUAUUAGCUAGUUGUAAACAAAAUCUAUAGAUGAGGAAGAAUUGGACUGUUCUCUUGAUUUGCAGGUCGGUUUGAGAUUCAAAUAACAACAAAAGCACAAUAAUGGUACUUGUUUUUAUCCUUCUCAAGAGCGUUACCUUACAUAAAAUCUGUAUCGUUGUUUCUAUAAUGAACAA